AACGAACGCUGGCGGCAUGCCUAACACAUGCAAGUCGAACGAGACCUUCGGGUCUAUUGGCGCACGGGUGCGUAACGCGUGGGAACCUGCCCUUAGGUUCGGAAUAACUCCCCGAAAGGGGUGCUAAUACCGGAUAAUGUCUUCGGACCAAAGAUUUAUUGCCUUUGGAUGGGCCCGCGUUGGAUUAGCUAGUUGGUAGGGUAAAAGCCUACCAAGGCGACGAUCCAUAGCUGGUCUGAGAGGAUGAUCAGCCACACUGGGACUGAGACACGGCCCAGACUCCUACGGGAGGCAGCAGUGGGGAAUAUUGUACAAUGGGCGAAAGCCUGAUCCAGCCAUGCCGCGUGAGUGAUGAAGGCCUUAGGGUUGUAAAGCUCUUUUACCCGGGAUGAUAAUGACGGUACCGGGAGAAUAAGCUCCGGCUAACUCCGUG
rnacentral:rRNA from 1 species